rnacentral:rRNA from 1 species
UACAGAGGCCCCAAGCAUUAUCCGGAAUCACUGGGCGUAAAGGGUGUGUAGGCGGCUUUGUUAGUCUGUCGUGAAAGGCCGUGGGCUUAACCCAUGGACCGCGGGAGAAACGGCAAGGCUUUAGAGGAUGCGAGAGGUAAAGGGAACUCAAGGUGUAGGGGUGAAAUCCGUUGAUAUCUUGGGGAACACCAAAUGCGAAGGCACUUUACUGGCGCACUCCUGACGCUGAGACACGAAAGCGUGGGUAGCGAACGGG